rnacentral:rRNA from 1 species
AUUGAACGCUGGCGGCAUGCUUUACACAUGCAAGUCGAACGGUAACAGGUUAAGCUGACGAGUGGCGAACGGGUGAGUAAUGCAUCGGAACGUGCCCGGUCGUGGGGAUAACGCAGCGAAAGCUGCGCUAAUACCGCAUACGAUCCGAGGAUGAAAGCGGGGGACCGUAAGGCCUCGCGCGAUCGGAGCGGCCGAUGUCAGAUUAGGUAGUUGGUGGGGUAAAGGCUCACCAAGCCAACGAUCUGUAGCUGGUCUGAGAGGACGACCAGCCACCCUGGGACUGAGACACGGCCCAGACUCCUACGGGAGGCAGCAGUGGGGAAUUUUGGACAAUGGGCGAAAGCCUGAUCCAGCAAUGCCGCGUGCAGGAAGAAGGCCUUCGGGUUGUAAACUGCUUUUGUACGGAGCGAAAAGGUCUCCUCUAAUACAGGGGCUCAUGACGGUACCGUAAGAAUAAGCACCGGCUAACUACGAGCCAGCCGCCGCAGUAA